UACGGAGGGGGCUAGCGUUGUUCGGAAUUACUGGGCGUAAAGCGCGCGUAGGCGGCUUUGUAAGUUAGAGGUGAAAGCCCGGAGCUCAACUCCGGAACUGCCUUUAAGACUGCAUCGCUAGAAUCAUGGAGAGGUGAGUGGAAUUCCGAGUGUAGAGGUGAAAUUCGUAGAUAUUGGGAAGAAUACCAGUGGCGAAAGCGACUCUCUGGACGGCAACUGACGCUGAGGCACGAAAGCGUGGGGAGCAAACAGG
rnacentral:rRNA from 1 species